CUGGGGCUCUUGAGCUAUAAGUGGCACCUCAGGGCCCUGACGGGCGUCUUGCCAUGCUGCUCCUGGGCCUGCUGCUGCUGCUGCCCCUGCUGGCUGGCGCCCGCCUGCUGUGGAACUGGUGGAAGCUCCGGAGCCUCCACCUCCUGCCUCUUGCCCCGGGCUUCUUGCACCUGCUGCAGCCCGACCUCCCCAUCUAUCUGCUUGGCCUGACUCAGAAAUUCGGGCCCAUCUACAGGCUCCACCUUGGGCUGCAAGGUGAGAGGCUGAUCUCGCUCUGGCCCUCACCAUAGGAGGGGGCGGAGGUGACGGAGAGGGUCCUCUCUCCGCUGACGCUGCUUUGGCUGUCUCCCAGAUGUGGUGGUGCUGAACUCCAAGAGGACCAUUGAGGAAGCCAUGGUCAAAAAGUGGGCAGACUUUGCUGGCAGACCUGAGCCACUUACCUGUAAGGGCCGGGGGCAUUUUUUCUUUCUUAAACAAAUUUUUUUUUUGUUAGAGAUGGGGUCUUGCUAUGUUGCCCAGGCUGGUCUUGAAUUCCUGGUCUCAAGUGAUCCUCCCACCUCGGCCUCAAGUGGGAGCCACCUUCGGGGGCUUCCCCAAUCCUCCAGGUCACUGGAAGCUCUUGGGGGGCAUAUCUUCAGGAGAAGAAGCAGGUGUUGAGGAGGCAGAAGAAGGUCAGGCCCUCGGCUUCCUUGGUCAGUUCCCACCCUCCAGCCCCCAGCUCCUCCUGCAGACAAGCUGGUGUCUAAGAACUACCCGGACCUGUCGUUGGUCUCUGCUCUGGAAAGCCCACAAGAAGCUCACCCGCUCAGCCCUGCUGCUGGGCAUCCGUGACUCCAUGGAGCCAGUGGUGGAGCAGCUGACCCAGGAGUUCUGUGAGCGCAUGAGAGCCCAGCCCGGCACCCCUGUGGCCAUUGAGGAGGAAUUCUCUCUCCUCACCUGCAGCAUCAACUGUUACCUCACCUUCGGAGACAAGAUCAAGGAGGACAACUUAAUGCCUGCCUAUUACAAAUGUAUCCAGGAGGUGUUAAAAACCUGGAGCCACUGGUCCAUCCAAAUUGUGGACGUGAUUCCCUUUCUCAGGUUCUUCCCCAAUCCAGGUCUCCGGAGGCUGAAGCAGGCCAUAGAGAAGAGGGACCACAACGAGGAGAAGCAGCUGAGGCAGCACAAGGAGAGCCUGGUGGCAGGCCAGUGGAGGGACAUGAUGGACUACAUGCUCCAAGGGGUGGCGCAGCCGAGCAUGGAAGAGGGCUCUGGACAGCUCCUGGAAGGGCACUUGCACAUGGCUGCAGUGGACCUCCUGAUCGGUGGCACUGAGACCACAGCAAACACCCUCUCCUGGGCCGUGGUUUUUUUUGCUUCACCACCCUGAGAUUCAGCAGCGACUGUAGGAGGAGCUAGACCACGAACUGGGCCCUGGUGCCUCCAGCUCCCGGGUCCCCUACAAGGACCGUGCACGGCUGCCCUUGCUCAAUGCCACCAUCGCCGAGGUGCUGCGCCUGUGGCCCGUUGUGCCCUUAGCCUUGCCCCACCGCACCACACGGCCCAGCAGCAUCUCCGGCUACGACAUCCCUGAGGGCACAGUCAUCAUUCCGAACCUCCAAGGCGCCCACCUGGAUGAGACGGUCUGGGAGAGGCCACAUGAGUUCUGGCCUGAUCGCUUCCUGGAGCCAGGCAAGAACUCCAGAGCUCUGGCCUUCGGCUGCGGUGCCCGCGUGUGCCUGGGCGAGCCGCUGGCGCGCCUGGAGCUCUUCGUGGUGCUGACCCGACUGCUGCAGGCCUUCACGCUGCUGCCCUCCGGGGACGCCCUGCCCUCCCUGCAGCCCCUGCCCCACUGCAGUGUCAUCCUCAAGAUGCAGCCUUUCCAAGUGCGGCUGCAGCCCCGGGGGAUGGGGGCCCACAGCCCAGGCCAGAACCAGUGAUGGGGCAGGACCGAUGCCAGCCGGGUACCUCAGUUUCUCCUUUAUUGCUCCCGUACGAACCCCUCCCCUCCCCCCUGUAAACACAGUGCUGCGAGAUCGCUGGCAGAGAAGGCUUCCUCCAGCGGCUGGGUGGUGAAGGACCCUGGCUCUUCUCUCGGGGCGACCCCUCAGUGCUCGGCAGUCAUACUGGGGUGCGAGAGAGGUGGGCAGCAGCUCAGCCUCCCCCCGCUGGGGAGCGAAAGUUUCUUGGUCUCAGCUUCAUUUCCGUGAAGGGCACCGAGAACUCGAAGCCCUUCCAGUGGUACCAGCUCACUCCCUGGGAAAGGGGUUGUCAAGAGAGAGUCAAAGCCGGAUGUCCCAUCUGCUCCUCCCGUUCCCCUUAAGGAGGUGGCUCCCAGCACUCAACCAACCUCCCCGCAGAGCUCCCUUCCUGACCCUCUGCCGCAGAGGAUUGAGGCUUAAUCCUGAGCUGGUCCUUUCCAGCCAAUAAAUCAACUCCAGCUCCCUCUG